rnacentral:rRNA from 1 species
UACGUAGGUGGCGAGCGUUGUUCGGAUUUAUUGGGCGUAAAGGGUCCGCAGGGGGUUUGUCAAGUCUGAUGUGAAAUCCCGUGGCUCAACCACGGAAUUGCAUUGGAAACUAGCAGACUAGAGUGCUGGAGAGGUAAGCGGAAUUCCAGGUGUAGCGGUGGAAUGCGUAGAUAUCUGGAAGAACACCGAAAGCGAAGGCAGCUUACUGGACAGAUACUGACCCUCAGGGACGAAAGCGUGGGGAG